UUGCCAGCCCGCUCAGAAACUUAAAGGAAGUUGACGGGGGCCUGCACAAGCGGUGGAGCAUGUGGUUUAAUUCGAAGCAACGCGCAGAACCUUACCAGCGUUUGACAUGGUAGGACGACUGGCAGAGAUGCCUUUCUUCCCUUCGGGGACCUACACACAGGUGCUGCAUGGCGGUCGUCAGCUCGUGUCGUGAGAUGUUGGGUUAAGUCCCGCAACGAGCGCAACCCUCGACUUUAGUUGCCAGCAGUUCGGCUGGGCACUCUAAAGGGACUGCCGGUGUUAAACCGGAGGAAGGUGGGGAUGACGUCAAGUCCUCAUGGCCUUUAUGACCAGGGCUACACACGUACUACAAUGGCCGAUACAAAGGGCAGCGACACUGCGAGGUGAAGCCAAUCCCGUAAAAUCGGUCUCAGUCCGGAUUGGAGUCUGCAACUCGACUCCAUGAAGUUGGAAUCGCUAGUAAUCGUGGAUCAGCAUGCCACGGUGAAUACGUUCCCGGGCCUU
rnacentral:rRNA from 1 species